rnacentral:tRNA from 1 species
GGACUAUUCGUCUAGGUGGUUAGGACGUCACCCUUUCAAGGUGAAAACGUAGGGUUCGAGUCCCACAUGGUCUACCA